rnacentral:rRNA from 1 species
AUUGAACGCUGGCGGCAUGCCUUACACAUGCAAGUCGAACGGUAACGGGCCUUCGGGUGCCGACGAGUGGCGAACGGGUGAGUAAUACAUCGGAACGUGCCCGAUCGUGGGGGAUAACGAGGCGGAAGCUUUGCUAAUACCGCAUACGAUCUACGGAUGAAAGCAGGGGACCGCAAGGCCUUGCGCGGACGGAGCGGCCGAUGGCAGAUUAGGUAGUUGGUGGGAUAAAAGCUUACCAAGCCGACGAUCUGUAGCUGGUCUGAGAGGGUGAUCAGCCACACUGGGACUGAGACACGGCCCAGACUCCUACGGGAGGCAGCAGUGGGGAAUUUUGGACAAUGGGCGCAAGCCUGAUCCAGCCAUGCCGCGUGCAGGAUGAAGGCCUUCGGGUUGUAAACUGCUUUUGUACGGAACGAAAAGCCUUCUUUUAAUACAGGAGGGUCAUGACGGUACCGUAAGAAUAAGCACCGGCUAACUACGUG